rnacentral:rRNA from 1 species
UACGAAGGGUGCAAGCGUUAAUCGGAAUUACUGGGCGUAAAGGGUGCGUAGGCGGUUCGUUAAGUCUGUUGUGAAAUCCCCGGGCUCAACCUGGGAAUGGCAAUGGAUACUGGCGGGCUAGAGUGUGUCAGAGGAUGGUGGAAUUCCCGGUGUAGCGGGGAAAUGCGUAGAGAUCGGGAGGAACAUCAGUGGCGAAGGCGGCCAUCUGGGACAACACUGACGCUGAAGCACGAAAGCGUGGGGAGCAAACAGG